ACUCAGACUAGGGAUGCAAUCAAACAAGCCUCUCAACAUCAGCUCAUGGAAUCGUUCAACAAAGGAAGGUUUCCAACGCGGGUUAGUCAUUGCUGACAUGAACGUUAGGAUGCGAGAUGGUACGUAGUCAUCUUCCGCGUCCAUGUUCAGAACUUCAGACCAUGGAUACAAUAAUCAAACAAGCAUCUCAACAUCAGCUCAUGCAAUUCUUUCAACAAACGACGUUUCCAUGGGUUAGUCAUUGCUGACAUGAACGUUAGGAUGCGAUGGUACGUUGUUUUAUCUACACCUCUUACUACUGACUUGUCUGCAUAUGGAUAUUUUUCCAAUGUUCGAAUUUCGAAACGAUGUGAACAUAUUGUAGAAAAAGGUGCACAUCCAAGUUGGAUAAUUUUUUUUGGAAUUCAUAAAAAUCAUGUAGAGCAAACUGAGCUUGGUCAGUUGGUUAGCAGUACUAGUUCUCGCGUUAUGAUUCUGAAUCUCAGGCUCUAACAGUCUGCACCGCGCCACAACCGUCCUCCAACUCCAAGGAUGCACCGCGCCACAACCGUCCACACACUGCUCUGCCCACCAUGUCGGCAAGGUCCUUCUUUCGCGCGGCCAUGUUCCUGCUGGUCCAGCUAGCUGGCAUCUACUUGGAACACGCAGCAGGGUUUCCGUCGGGUUGUACCAGAAACCCCAAUCAGCCUACCGUGCCUUGCCCUCGGGGCUCUCCAAAUCAGCCGUGUCAUCGUCCACCAUGUCCGCGUUCUUAGUUGCUAGGAGCAGCGUUGCAAUGCACGUUUCAAACGGGUGAGAAAGGCUGACUCGAGUGGGAAUGAAUGCACAAGUUCCCUUGUCUAUGCACGAUUGUGAGAUAAAAACAUUUCUUUUCAUGUACACGCACCUUCAAUGGACGCAGACUUGUGUCAUGUAGUGGGUACAGUUUUGUGAAAAUUUAUGAAUGGUUAAAUC